AACGAACGCUGGCGGCAUGCCUAACACAUGCAAGUCGAACGAGACCUUCGGGUCUAGUGGCGCACGGGUGCGUAACGCGUGGGAACCUGCCCUUAGGUUCGGAAUAACUCCCCGAAAGGGGUGCUAAUACCGGAUAAUGUCUUCGGACCAAAGAUUUAUCGCCUUUGGAUGGGCCCGCGUUGGAUUAGCUUGUUGGUAGGGUAAAAGCCUACCAAGGCGACGAUCCAUAGCUGGUCUGAGAGGAUGAUCAGCCACACUGGGACUGGGAUACGGCCCAGACCCCGACGGGAGGGAGCGGUGGGGGAGGGGAAAAUAUGAAAGGGGGCGAGAUGCAGAAACGCCACGGCCGGGAGGGUGGCCAGGGGGUUGGAGUGUUAAAUCUCUUUUACCGGGGAGGGAAAGACGGUAACGGGGAAAUAAGCCCCGGCUAACCACGGG
rnacentral:rRNA from 1 species